AACGAACGCUGGCGGCAGGCUUAACACAUGCAGGUCGAGCGAGGGCUCCGGCCCUAGCGGCGGACGGGUGAGUAACGCGUGGGAACGUGCCCUUCUCUCUGGCAUAGCCCUGGGAAACCGGGAGUAAUGACGGAUACGCCCUCGGGGAAUGGGCCCCCGUGGGGAAAGAUGUAUCGGGGAAGGAUCGGGCCGCGUCGUAUUAGGUAGUCGGUGGGGUAACGGACUACCAAGCCGACGAUCCGUAGCUGGUUUGAGAGGAUGAUCAGCCACACUGGGACUGAGACACGGCCCAGACUCCUACGGGAGGCGGCGGUGGGGAAUCAUGGACAAGGGGGGCAACCCUGAUCCAGCCAGGCCGCGUGGGCGAUGAAGGCCUUGGGAUUGUAAUGCUCUUUCGGCGGAGAAGAUAGUGACGGUACCCGCAGAAGAAGCCCCGGCUAACUCCGUG
rnacentral:rRNA from 1 species